GUAGGGUGCGAGCGUUAAUCGGAAUUACUGGGCGUAAAGCGUGCGCAGGCGGUGAGCUGUGUCCGAUGUGAAAGCCCCGGGCUUAACCUGGGAAUGGCAUUGGAAACUGGCUCGCUGGAGUGUGGCAGAGGGGGGUGGAAUUCCGCGUGUAGCAGUGAAAUGCGUAGAGACGCGGAGGAACACCGAUGGCGAAGGCAGCCCCCUGGGCUAACACUGACGCUCAGGCACGAAAGCGUGGGGAGCAAACAGGAUUAGAUACCCUGGUAGUCCACGCCCUAAACCAUGUCAACUGGGUGUUCGGGAAGCGAUUCCUGAGUACCGUAGCUAACGCGUGAAGUUGACCGCCUGGGGAGUACGGCCGCAAGGUUA
rnacentral:rRNA from 1 species